AUACGGAGGAUGCGAGCGUUAUCCGGAUUUAUUGGGUUUAAAGGGAGCGUAGGUGGGAUAUUAAGUCAGCUGUGAAAGUUUGGGGCUCAACCUUAAAAUUGCAGUUGAUACUGGUUUCCUUGAGUACGGUACAGGUGGGCGGAAUUCGUGGUGUAGCGGUGAAAUGCUUAGAUAUCACGAAGAACUCCGAUCGCGAAGGCAGCUCACCGGGCCGGAACUGACACUGAUGCUCGAAAGUGCGGGUAUCAAACAGGAUUAGAUACCCUGGUAGUCCGCACAGUAAACGAUGAAUACUCGCUGUUUGCGAUACACUGUAAGCGGCCAAGCGAAAGCGUUAAGUAUUCCACCUGGGGAGUACGCCGGCAACGGUGAAACUCAAAUGAAUUGACGGGU
rnacentral:rRNA from 1 species